UACGUAGGGGGCAAGCGUUAUCCGGAUUUACUGGGUGUAAAGGGAGCGUAGACGGCACGGCAAGCCAGAUGUGAAAGCCCGGGGCUCAACCCCGGGACUGCAUUUGGAACUGCUGAGCUAGAGUGUCGGAGAGGCAAGUGGAAUUUCUAGUGUAGCGGUGAAAUGCGUAGAUAUUAGGAGGAACACCAGUGGCGAAGGCGGCUUGCUGGACGAUGACUGACGUUGAGGCUCGAAAGCGUGGGGAGCAAACAGG
rnacentral:rRNA from 1 species